rnacentral:lncRNA from 1 species
UUUAUUACUGUUUAUUUUCACAUUUUUCUAGCUUAAUUUGUGUUUUUGUUAUGUUUUUACAGAAAAGGAAGAAAUUGGGAAGUUAGAGAAAAAGUGAAGAAAAAGAUGGAAAAGUGAUUGGGUCUGAGUGAUUUGGCCAAAUCACUCGCAGGAACUGGCCAAAUCACUCGCAGAGACAGAGACAGAAACUGGACUGAAUCCCAGAAAGCGAUUGGGGCAAAUUGGGCAAGUGAUUUGCCCAAAUCACUCGCAGAAACUGCCCAAAUCACCUUGACAGCAGAAGUUGACAGUAGAGCGGGAAAAGUGCAGAAAUUAGAAAUUCGAAUUAUCAGAAGUCCAAAUCUAACUCAAUCACUACCAACAUAAUUCCAGGAGCCAUGAGACAAUUUCUCACCUAAGGAAUUCCUUUUACAAUUAAAAUCCACAUCCAAAGAGGAAUCAAAGACCAAGUCAAGAAGGGAUUUCAAAACCCUAGAUGGAUGAGAUUCUCCAACUAUAAAAGAGCAACCUCCAAACCAGCAAAGGCAUCUCUUUCAGCAUCUGCCAUCCUCGGAAAUUCUCCAGCAACACAGCAGAAACUUUCCUUCUUUCUUUUCUUCUUUAUUUUUGUAUUUUAGUCACCAUGAGUGGCUAAAUUAAUUAUUUUCUAGUUGAAGUUGAGAAUAUUCAGAUUUGUGAUGAAUUGGGAGGUUUAAUUAUUACUUUGCUUUUAGAAUCAAUAAGGGCCCAUUGCUUUUAAAUUGCUUAAGUGAUAAAUUGUUUGAAUGAUUUAGGUCCGUAAUUGCUUAAAUUGUUUGAACAUAAAUAUAAUCAGUUGCAUAACCUAGCCUUGAC